GCGCCCCCUGGUCGCGUGGAGGGCGAUGAGCGAACGACCCGGGACUUUUCUGAAUGGGACACCAGCAAGGCACACGUGGUCUUCAAUGCGAUGGGCGCUUCCAGGGGACCCGGCGUCCCUUGGGUCCAGGAAGUCUUAUACUGUCUCCUCUCACGGCCCCGACAGAAACGGUUUCUGAGGAGUAGAAGUGUCCUAAGUGGAUUGGAAAUUACAAAUGCCGGAAAGAACCUAGGGAUGGAAAGCAGCCCUCAACUCAGCCCACCAGCACCCAGUUGAAAUAAACAGCCAUGUUGCUCACAGAAAGCCUGUUUGGUGAUCUCUUCACACGGACACAUGAAACAUUUGGUGCCGAAGACCCGGGUCAGUGGGACUCCUUUUGGAGACCAGUCCCCUGUCCUCACCCUCACUCCGUGAAGAGAUCCACCUACGACCUCAGGUCCUCAGACCAACCAGCCCAAGGAACAUCUCACCGAUUUUAAAUCGGGACCCCACUGGAAAUUGGACUGUCCAACUGGCCCAAGGCUCUGAUGGACUCCUUCCCAGAUCUUCUCAGCUUAGCAGCUGAAGACUGACACUGCCUGAUCACCUCGGAAGCCCCUUGGACCAUCACGGACGCCGAGCUUCGGGUAACUCUUACAGUGGAGGAUGAAAGUGAUGCUCACAUUGCCUCAUGAUCUUCUUGGAAGACAUCCAGCUCUCCCCAUGCUGUUCAGUUGGUGCUGCACAUUGUCCUCCCCUUACAUCUGUGCCCUUGGCCAUCAGGACUUCUCUCACUUUUAAGAGACUGCAGGUGCAAUUCCAGGGAUUUCCAUCCAGGUACAGGUGCCUGAGGGUCUGUCUCUGUGGCCCAGGCUGGAGUGCAGUGGUGAGAUCUCGGCUGACUGCAACCUCUGGCUCACCAGCUCAAGUGAUCCUCCCACCUCAGCCUCCUGAGUAGCUGGGACCACAGGCACACACCACCACACCCGGCUAAUUUUUUCUAUUUUUGGUAGAGACAGGGUUUCAUCAUGUAGCCCAGGCUAGUCUGGAACUCCUGGACUCAAACAAUCCACCAACCUCGGCCUCCCAAAGUGCUGGGAUUACAGGUGUGAGUCACCGCACCUGGCCUGAUGUUUUAAAAUAAUUUUUUAAAUAACAGUUAUAUGAAAAAGCUUUUGUAACUAUGACUAAAAAAAUCUAGAAGCUAUAAAAAAUUGUUAAAGCAUCAACAUUAAAAAGAAUUUUAAAAGAAAUUGUGUAUAGCAAAAGACAGGCAAAGUCAAAAGACAAAUGAUAAACGGGAUAAGCAUGAUGUCUGCAGUUUAUAUCAAACAAAGAAUUAAUCUCCUUAAUAUACAAAAAGCACUUAAAAUUGAGAAGAAAAGGUUAUAAAAUAAAACAGAAAAAUGGGCAAAAAAACAAAUGGAAGUUCACAUAUAAAGCAAAGCAAAGGGCCCCCAAGUCUUCAACUUUAUGCAGAACAGAGAAAUUAAAGCUACACAGAGAUGCCACUUAACACUUAACAGAUUGGUAAAAAUUCUAAGCCUUAGCAAUCUGGUCUGCGAACAAAGCUGUGAAGAAACAGAUAUUCUCAUAUAUUGCUCAUGGGAGUCUAAAAUGGCACAGCCUGUAUGGAGAAAAAUUUAGCAAAACCUAACAAAAAAAAAUACAUAUUUAUCCUUUAGACCAGCAAUCUCACUUCUAGGAAUACACCCUGAAGAUAUGACUUUACAAAUAUAAACAGUAUGUGUGGCAUUUAUUAUGAUAUUAUUUAUAACAGCAAAAGAUUGGAAGCAACCCAGUACAUAUGCAGCCUUAAAAAAAUAAAAUAAUAAAAAAAAGAGGCUGGUCUCUAUGAAUUACCAUGAAGUGAUUUCCAGAAAGUAUUGUUAAAGAGAAAAAAAGCAAGAAACAGAGCAGUAUAUAUAGUACACUAGUUUUUGUGUAAGAAAAGGGGAAAUAAGAAUUACAUAUACACGUUUACUUAUUUGGGGCAACUGAAGGAGAAUGAUAAACCAGAAAUCAAUAAAAAUGGUUACAUAUAGGGAGUGGUUGGUUCCAUGUGAUUUUAACUUUUCAACCAUGUUAAUGUUUUACAUGUUCACAAAAACAAAAUCAAGUCCUAAAACUGAAAACAAACAGGAACAAGCAUAUCUAAUUAAUUAAUCCAAUGUUUAUAUUUGUAACAUAGUCAUACAGAGAAAAGAAAAAGUACUCUGACUGAACAACCUUAGUGGAUAUAUUUAAGCCUUAGAUUCUAAGGACAAAAAGAUCUCGAAAUUUCUCUUAGUAUGUUUAUUGUUAAUACUAAUGUUAAUAAUGAAAUUUUGAAAUUUUUUAUGAAUAUUAUCUGGCAAAACAAAUAAGUAAAUAUAUUCAUGUCAUUAGGAAAUUAUACUUUCAUUGUAAGAGAAAAAGAUAAAAAUAUAAAAUAAAAUAAAGAAAACCCUCUCUGAUGUU